rnacentral:rRNA from 1 species
UACAGAGUGGGCAAGCGUUGUUCGGAAUUACUGGGCGUAAAGGGCGCGUAGGCGGCCUGCUAAGUCGAACGUGAAAUCCCUGGGCUCAACCCAGGAACUGCGUCCGAUACUGGUUGGCUUGAAUCCGGGAGAGGGAUGUGGAAUUCCAGGUGUAGCGGUGAAAUGCGUAGAUAUCUGGAGGAACACCGGUGGCGAAGGCGACAUCCUGGACCGGUAUUGACGCUGAGGCGCGAAAGCCAGGGGAGCAAACGGG